GAGUUUGAUUCUGGCUCAGGAUGAACGCGGCGGCGUGCCUAAUACAUGCAAGUCGAGCGAGAAUUUGACAAGUGGAGACUUCGGUCAAAGCGAGUCAAAGGAAAGCGGCGGACGGGUGAGUAAUGCGUGGGUAACCUGCCCUUUGGAGAGGGAUAGCAGUUGGAAACGGCUAUUAAUACCUCAUAAGCGCACAGUUUCGCAUGAAACGGUGUGAAAAGAUUUAUCGCCAAAGGAUGGACCCAUGUCCGAUUAGUUAGUUGGUGAGGUAACGGCUCACCAAGACCGCGAUCGGUAGCCGACCUGAGAGGGUGAUCGGCCACAUUGGGACUGAGACACGGCCCAAACUCCUACGGGAGGCAGCAGUAGGGAAUAUUGCACAAUGGGGGAAACCCUGAUGCAGCAACGCCGCGUGAACGAUGAAGGAUUUCGGUCUGUAAAGUUCUUUUGCUAGGAAAGAUAAUGACGUACCUAGCGAAUAAGCACCG
rnacentral:rRNA from 1 species